CUCCUACGGGAGGCAGCAGUGGGGAAUUUUGGACAAUGGGCGCAAGCCUGAUCCAGCCAUGCCGCGUGAGUGAAGAAGGCCUUCGGGUUGUAAAGCUCUUUCAGUUGGGAAGAAACGAUUACAACUAAUAAUUGUAAUUAAUGACGGUACCGACAGAAGAAGCACCGGGUAACUACGUGCCAGCGCCGCGGUAAU
rnacentral:rRNA from 1 species